GCUUUAGACAAGGCUGCAGACAAUGAAAUCACAGGAACAACACAGAUCAACAACUCGAACGAUUUCUAGGCUAACUGAGUCAUUUCACUCCAUAUAUGUGAUAUUUAUACAGCCAAUGUAAAUGUGUUUACUCACUUCUAGAGAUUUGCUAAAAGUAUUAGCUUGUAUGGGCAACUUGUGGGAUAUUCUGUUAGAUUGUGCUUGUUUUCCCUGCUGAGAGAAAUUUUAAAUUAAAACUAUGUCUCUGGCAGAAAUUGAGCUAGGUGCAUCUUAGGUGAGAACUUGAGGUAAUCUUGAGUAACAGGUUGAAAUUCACUGAGCCCAAACUGUACCUGUGUGCCCAGCACGGUGCUGAAAUGUGUGGGUACAGGGUGGGUGGGCACGGAGCACUCUUUCUGUCCUUGAGGAGCGCAUGGUCUUGCAGAAUGAAAAUAACUCAGAGAAAGAAAAUGCAAUCAUUUAUUAUAGUCACUGCCCUAAUUAGUGCAAUCAAUACUUUAUCACCAGUACAGGGAAACUUCUGACAGUAGGAAGGGGUGUUAAUUAUAACCUCACCACUGUAACUGUGUCAUUCAGGGCUGUCCUGGCAUGCCAGUCACACGGCCACCCAGACACAAUGGGCAGGCUCUGUGGGGUAAGCUUGGAAACACCCAUUCUUGGAGGACGAUUCGGGGCCCAGGGCCUGAGACAGCAGAUGAGGUGCUAAAGGAGCCAGCUCUCAUCAGGGCCACACGGGUCUCCGGAGGCCUCUGGCUGCCUGCUUAGGAGCUGCUGUGCUGGGUGUGGGCACCCCUUUCUAAAGCAGAUCCAUUAUCACAUGCUCAGUGUCCCAGACCCACCAGCAGCCCUUGCAGCUCCCAUCACCACUGCACCCACUCCACCUUGACAAAGGCCUUCACUACGCUAACAUGUCCUGUUGAUGAAAUGCAGGAAUUGCCAAAUAAGAGUCACAAGGGUCUGGGUUGUAACUCUGACUUCACUGCAAACUAGUCCUGCUUCUUUUCACAAGUCAGAACCUCUCCAUGUCCACAAGCGUCCUUGCUCACAUUGCUCUUUGCUGCCCCCAUCAAAGAGAAGCAAAUGGAUAGAAAUGGGGGCUUAGGGACAAAUCCCAGCUCUGCCACUUACUGGGUGACCUUGGGUAAAUCCCUGGACACGUUUGAAGCAGGACCCCCAUUGUCCAGGAGAGCCACAGAGGACGCUUGUGGAGACAGCGGUGGUGAGUGCAGCUUGCCCCACGCCCAGUGGCUCCCGCACGGGGAGGACACGGUGACCAGCUGCCGUCAUUACCACUACCACUGAGGAGGCUGCUGACUGCGCUGGGCUGGCAACGGGCCACAGGGCCAGUGUGCCUGCACACAGGCGAUGGUGGUGCCCUUUCUCAGACCAUCUGGGGGUGGUCAUUCCUUUUCCUCCAUCUUUGGGUGUCACUUUCAGUUUUCUUGCUAAAAUGCCAGGAACAGUCUUCUGCUUAUCCCUGCUGUGUUCCCAAAUGGCAGGUGGCCUGCUUGCUGGACUGAAAGGAAAAGCACAAGGCUGUGAUGGCAAGUCUGCCAGGCCGUUCCGUCCAUCGUGGGCAGCAGAAAGGCCUCAUGCAUCACCAGUGUAUGCAGCAGGGUGCCCGAGGCAGGGCACUUGGGAGUACUGGGGCCUGAGAGGAUGGGUGCGUGUCCGUGACUUGAAACAGAGUCCAGGCAUGGCGACUCUCCUGGCAGCCCCAUCGAUUAGUGGCUGUCCUGGGAACAGCUGGGAGAUGCUUGGCCCUGGCUUGAGAGAGGAAGUGAUGAGUGGUGCCCGCCUGGGAUGGAGUGUGGAGGGCGCAGACGUGCCUACCGGCGAGCCAGACCUCCUCCACGAAGGAACGGCCACCUGCAGGCUGUCAUGCAGGCAGCAGAGCUGGUGCUUCCUUAUUAAGGUAUCCGCUUUCCGGGAGUUCUUGUAUACCUGGACUUCACACACUUUUACAAGAUCUCAGAGAUGAAACAAAGGUUAACUUCAAUUCAUGGUGUAAUGCUCCUUAGCCACCCACCCCUUUUCUUCUUAGAAAUAAUAGGCUUCUACUCAUGCAGACAUUAUUGUCACUCAUAUAUUCUUAACCAUUGUACAAACUGGAGAAGGGCCAGCAAAGAAGAUAAAUGAAGAUAGUAAUUAUUUAAACCACUGAUAUUUAGAGCUCUUCAUAAAAAUGCCAUGUUCUGCUAAUAACGUCUACCUACUACCCACUUUCACACAGAGCAUAGGAUAUGUAUCUCUUCUUAACCAGAGUUAGGGUAGUAAAUGUAUACUCUUAAAAUCAUUGGAAAACAGUAAUUUAUUUGCCUCCAAUAGGAGUUACUUUUUAUAUUUUUCUCACCUCCACCAAAUACUUGCCUUUGUCUGCAGACAGGUAUGUUAGCAUUGCACAUGCUUCCAUGUCAUUGUUGAUGUGAAAUCCAUUUAAGCCAACUCUUCUCAGGAAGGGCCCCAGAGGUAAGAAGGCAGAGCUGUGAGAAGCCGCCACAGCUGUUUGAUGUGGACACUAGAAGAGCCGCUUGCCCUGUGGUAGAGCAGAGAGAGUAAGGACAUCGGAGGACCAGAGGCGGAGGGUUCCGGGGCGAAGCAAAUCUGUCAUAAAGGCUCCUCCUUGCUCUAAUGCCAGCCUCUUCCAAACAGGACAGCCUGAGAGAUGGAAACGCUUGGGGGAGUUAGGUUCCAGGGUGGCUGCUGGGCAGAGGUCUCCUGUUGUUCUGGAACCUGGGGCGGAGGAGGAGAGGAGCUGUGUUUUCUGCAGAGGACCUGCUGUGCUACCUGUGCUGGGUGUUUCUGGAGUGGGGCCCGGAUGGCGAUCCACGAGCGAUGUGUGGGAGAUUUCUCGGGGGACAGGAUGCCCAGCUUUCAUUAGAACCUCUAAAGUAUCUUUAAAUGUAGAAACGAAGCUGUGACACCAUCAGACACGGUUCCCUGCCAUGUCCACAGCUCUGAGUCCGGGCAGGUCCGGGGCGGCUGACGUCCCUGGUCCAGUCAUCUCGGAGCAGGCCCAUGGGGCACCUCAGCAUCUCUC